UGAGGCCCUCCCCCAGCGCUGCCAUUGACUCAGUGAGUGGAAGAGGUUUGUUUGAAACAGGCCGCAAUGGAGAGAACAGCGCCCAGGGAAGCGAGGGAAUAGCAGGCUCCUUCCAGCAGCGCAUCGAGAUGCAAAUACUUGAAGGACCAGGAUGAUGUUGUAUUUCCUCGGUACAAUGCCAAAUCUGACCAGUUACUGCUAACAAUCAGCAGUUUACAGGAGGUAUUCCUUCUUCCUCCAGGCCAAUACUUGAAGGACCAGGACAAUUUAGUGUUUUCUCAGUACAAAGCCAAUUGUGACCAGCAUCUUACAACAACCACCAGGAUGUGGCAAGUGGAUGCCAAUCUCAAAAUAGCCUUGAAUGGAUCGACGUGCUCGGCCUGAAGGCAAUGAGGAGUUUGCAAAGGGUUAGGAGUCACGUGCAGAGCAGAUCAGAUGCUGCCAGACCUGCUGAGUUUCACCAGAACUUUGUGUUUCUCACCUGCAACAUUAAGUUUGUUCCUCUUUCUCUCCCUCUCCAUAAUUCGGCUAAGAUUUUGAAAUUUGCCAUUCUUGCUGUCUUCUCCUGAUUGAUGCAAGAUGAAAAGCUUCAAACAGAAUCUGUUCAUUUUCCAGGUGCAGUCCUGCCAAGUGAAUCUCGUCAAAGAUUUCCAACUUCCCAAAGUGGUCUGCAUCUACUUAAUGACCUAAUCUUCUGGUGGCGGGGUGGGGUGGGAGGUUGGCAUUGGGGGGUGGGUUUUAUGGGGGUGAGCUGUCAACUUCAGAGAGAUACAUGAUCGCUAUAACGGUUUGUACAAAGUACAGCUUUCUGUCGAUAUUUACUGUUUAAAAAGCAAUUGGUGCAUCAAUUACAGAUCAUGGUCAAUUCACCACAGUCUGACCAGAUCAUUAGAGCUGCUGUCCCGUUGGAGAGAGGGGAUUGGAUGGUGAUGGAACCUGAGGGUCACUGCGCCUCAGGUGAUGGAGAGAUUCAAAAGGAGAGUUCUUCACGGUAACCCCAUCCGGUGUAUGAAUUGAACCCACGCUGUUACCAAUCUAAUGCAUCACAAAGCAGCCAUCGAGGAAAGCCCCCCCUCCCCCCAACCACGUCCACUUCUGAGACAGGAAUAGUCGCUGAUCUGGAGAGUGGUUGUAAUUACAAAACAAAUAGCCUUGCCCCUCUCCCCACCCCAACAUCAUUGGAGAUAAAGAGCUUUGUAAUGAUACUGUAGCUUUAAGAGAUUAUUUUGUCCUGGUUUCUUUUGAGAGAGAGAUUGAAUGAGAGGUGUCGAGCUCGCUGGUGAAGACCGCUUGACUAAACAGCUUGAGUUUUAUUUUGUCCAGGCUGAAUGAGUGUGGCCAGCUCUCAGAUCAGGAUUUCUCGGUUUUGUUUCAUUUCACGUGCAUCUGAAGCUGUUGGGGUCUCAAAUGCCUUUGAAACUUCAGUGGAUGUCUCCUGGCUCCUGCUGUCUCUGUAUUUUCUGUUGACUCUUUACCCUCCUGGAUUGGAGUUCUGCACGUGAGAACCUGUGUCUCAAUUUUACAUGUUUGUCAAGGAGUGUGUUUAUGGGAUGUUACUAUUUUGAAUCAGUUAAUUAGCAAUAGUUACUGUAUCUACUGUUCUGUUACAUUUCCAACAGAGUUAAGUUAUUCUUAAUUCUUCCUUCUUUUGUUGCAUUUUAACUGUCGUGUUUAAAUCCAUUGUUUUGUUUACCAUUGAGUUGUUUGCCCAAUUGCAUUGCAUCUGAAACAAGCACUUCACGUUCGCUUUUAAAAAUAAAGUUAGGGUAGAGACUACCUUCUGAAAAUA